rnacentral:rRNA from 1 species
GACGAACGCUGGCGGCGUGCUUAACACAUGCAAGUCGAACGGAAAGGCCCUGCUUUUGUGGGGUGCUCGAGUGGCGAACGGGUGAGUAACACGUGAGUAACCUGCCCUUGACUUUGGGAUAACUUCAGGAAACUGGGGCUAAUACCGGAUAGGAGCUCCUGCUGCAUGGUGGGGGUUGGAAAGUUUCGGCGGUUGGGGAUGGACUCGCGGCUUAUCAGCUUGUUGGUGGGGUAGUGGCUUACCAAGGCUUUGAAGGGUAGCCGGCCUGAGAGGGUGACCGGCCACAUUGGGACUGGGAAACGGCCCGGACGCCAACGGGAGGCAGCGGUGGGGAAUAUUGCACAAUGGGCGGAAGCCUGAGGCAGCAACGCCGCGUGCGGGAUGACGGCUUUCGGGUUGGAACCCGCUUUCGCCUGUGACGAAGCGUGAGUAACGGUAAUGGGUAAAGAGGCACCGGCAAACUACGU